GACGAACGCUGGCGGCGUGCCUAAUACAUGCAAGUAGGACGCAGUUGCGAACGGGUGAGUAACGCGUAGGUAACUGCCUAUUAGAGGGGGAUAACUAUUGGAAACGAUAGCAAAUACCGCAUACUAGACGAUGGACCUGCGUUGUAUUAGCUAGUAGGUAGGGUAAUGGCCUACCUAGGCAAUGAUACAUACCCGACCUGAGAGGGGGAUCGGCCACACUGGGACUGAGACACGGCCCAGACUCCUACGGGAGGCAGCAUGGGGGAACAUUGGACAAUGGGCGAAAGCCUGCUCCAGCCAUGCCGCGUGUUUGAAGAAGGUCUUCGGAUUGUAAAGCACUUUAAGUUGGGAGGCGUUACCAACAUAGUAAGCACCGGCUAACUUCGUGCCAGCAGCCGCGGUAAUUC
rnacentral:rRNA from 1 species